rnacentral:rRNA from 1 species
UACGUAGGGUGCAAGCGUUAAUCGGAAUUACUGGGCGUAAAGCGUGCGCAGGCGGUUUUAUAAGACAGGUGUGAAAUCCCCGGGCUUAACCUGGGAAUUGCAUUUGUGACUGUAAGACUAGAGUGUGUCAGAGGGGGGUGGAAUUCCACGUGUAGCAGUGAAAUGCGUAGAUAUGUGGAGGAACACCAAUGGCGAAGGCAGCCCCCUGGGAUAACACUGACGCUCAUGCACGAAAGCGUGGGGAGCAAACAGG